rnacentral:rRNA from 1 species
AUUGAACGCUGGCGGCAUGCUUUACACAUGCAAGUCGAACGGCAGCGCGGGCUUCGGCCUGGCGGCGAGUGGCGAACGGGUGAGUAAUACAUCGGAACGUGCCCAGUAGUGGGGGAUAGCUCGGCGAAAGCCGGAUUAAUACCGCAUACGACCUGAGGGUGAAAGCGGGGGAUCUUCGGACCUCGCGCUAUUGGAGCGGCCGAUGGCAGAUUAGCUAGUUGGUGGGGUAAAGGCUUACCAAGGCGACGAUCUGUAGCUGGUCUGAGAGGACGACCAGCCACACUGGGACUGAGACACGGCCCAGACUCCUACGGGAGGCAGCAGUGGGGAAUUUUGGACAAUGGGCGAAAGCCUGAUCCAGCAAUGCCGCGUGUGUGAUGAAGGCCUUCGGGUUGUAAAGCACUUUUGGCGGGAACGAAAAGGACUGUGCCAAUACCACGGUUCGAUGACGGUACCCGCAGAAUAAGCACCGGCUAACUACGUG